rnacentral:rRNA from 1 species
CAGUAGCCGCGGUAAUACGUAGGUGGCAAGUGUUGUCCGGAAUUAUUGGGCGUAAAGGGCUCGCAGGCGGUUUCUUAAGUCUGAUGUGAAAGCCCCCGGCUCAACCGGGGAGGGUCAUUGGAAACUGGGAAACUUGAGUGCAGAAGAGGAGAGUGGAAUUCCACGUGUAGCGGUGAAAUGCGUAGAGAUGUGGAGGAACACCAGUGGCGAAGGCGACUCUCUGGUCUGUAACUGACGCUGAGGAGCGAAAGCGUGGGGAGCGAACAGGAUUAGAUACCCGCGUAGUCCCUGUCUCUUAUAC